UCCUGAGAGGCAGGAACUACACCAUCCAUGACUGUUGUAGCUUGAAAUGCUUGUUUUCACAGGAAAAUUCAUGUUUGUAGUGACAUGUUUUCCUCAGCAAUCUUUAAAGCUUAAAAAAACUCACCACUGGCUUCUAGAUUCCACUGUAUGUUUAUUCUCCAUAAUUGCGCUAUCACUAAAUGCUGAAGAUAGGCUCCUACUUUGAAGAGGGUGACUGGAAAACUCAUUUAAUAGAGGAGGAAUCAUUUUGCUGGUGUGUUUCUUGGAACCUUCUUUUUAUUUGUAGCAGUAAUGAGCACUGGAACUUUGAGGUGCACACCAGUGUGAUUAUAUCUUUCUGUGUUUCCUUUCACAUGGAGUAAAGCUUGAUGGAAGAUAAAUACAUAGCUUUCUGCACCCAUUAUCUCCUUAGGUUUCCCAGUGAAAUUACACAGAAAUAAGGUCAGGAACAAUACUGAGAAACAGAUAUCUUGUAGCCAGAGACCAAUCAAAAGAAGAAAGUGCCCCACCAGCAAGGUCCAGGAUCAGGACCCUGGUGAGAAGCCCUGCACUGGGAACAAGGAGCAUGCUGUCCAAGGUGCUGUCCCCGGACCCUGCUUUGGAGCUUCUAUUUUUUAUAUCAAUUGUUGGCUAUUGAAGUCUCAUCCUUUCCCCUUCUGGCUGCUGUAAGAAAGGAGAGGGUGGGGGAGGGUUCAGUAUUGUGCUCUCCACUUUCAUAGCCACUCUUGUUGGUGUGCUGCUCCACUGCUCUGCUGUGAUGACCCCAGGGGAGGCCAGAUCCACCAGACAUUUGCCACCAGCCAUCAGCAUGGCAAAAACUAGGCAGAGCUGACCUGAGAACUGGUUCCAAUAUUUUUACCUGAACAGAUUAAUUAUACAACUCAAUUAUAACUCUCUAUGGCCUGAAGUUCUCAGACACUUAGUGAUAGCACCUUGAGUACCAUCUUUUGGAUGGCAGAUUGCUACAGAGGUACUUGAACACCCUACCUAUAAGAAAACGUACGAGCCAGCAAGAAACACAAUACUUACGUCCAUUGCAGAAAUCAUUACAAGUAGAUUAGAACUAAGACACUACAUUGCUGGGAACCCAGAAAUAACCAAGUGCUCUUUGUGGAAAAAAUAUUCCCUACACUGCUAGAUUUAGAGGGGCCCCUUUUUAUAAUGAUAAAGCUGCCCAAAUCCCAUCAGGAACACAUCAGUGGAGUAGGAUGGUGAAGGUCCAUGUUCACUGUAUAUCCAUGUCAUAUGUGCAGAAAAAAAUCCUGUUGGCAUUGGGAGGAACAGCUGCUGAAGAGAGCAGAAUAUACAAUAAUCUUGAAGGCACAUCAACCUGCUCCACUGACUGUAAAGUGAAGAUAAGUUUUUAUGCCCACACAUUAAUUGCCUGAUUAAGCCACAAAGAGAAGAGCAGACCUCUGUUCAGAAAGAUCUGGCCAUUUCAUUCUCCUUCCUUUCCAGUUUCCUUAUAAUCUCUAAGGAUAACUAUAUUUGGGGGUUACACAGCUUCAGUUACAUGCUUACUAGAAAAAUAUACAGAGCCAAAGCAAAGUUGCUGAAUCAGAGGAGGAGGACUGCAAUGGGUUAGAGUUGCCAAAUGAGUCUGACUGACUUGUACUUCUUUCUGAACCUGCACUUGUUUCUGUUCUCUUAGGGUAUAUUAAACACUGUUAUGCACUGCAGAUUAAAUAUGUUGGUUUUAACCCUGUUAAGUUCUGUUUGAUAUCAUUGUGCCUACUAAAACAUUGCAUUACUGAUGUUGUGAUUUGCAGUAAUAAAGUUACACUCUGGUUAUACAUCUUUUAAACUAUUGCAGCAUAUGCUCCCAGAAGCCAAGGGGAUAUUAAAUAAUGAGAGAAUUAACUUACAAAUAUUAGAUCACUGGAAGUGCCUGCAAGUUAGUCUGACGGUGUCACUCCCUCUUGUGCUGUUUGAAAUCUUUAUGCAAAAUAUGUAUAUGUGCCUAUGUACUUUUAAUUGUAAAUGAAGAAGAGCUUUUUGCUGCUUCAUGAAGUUGGCUUCUAUAAUGGAACCUAUUGGUAAUUUAAAAUACUUAAUGCUAACAUAUGAAGCAAGAUUCUAAGCUAGUAGCAGUAGCAUAGCUCCAGUGGUUUCAACAGAGCUAUAUCGAUUGACAUCAGCUUAGGCUCUGGCACAAAAACAUAAAAUACAGUUUAUUAUAGGGAUGGGCCUAGAUACUCUGGAACUUUGAGUCUAUUUGGAAAUGAGCUUUGUAGUGUGGGCCUGUCUCUGACUUAUUGUCUUUUCUUAGGUGGCCAAGACAUACACACUUACCGAAAAGCAUUUGAAACACAUCAGUUGUUUCACAGAACAUACAUACGUCACAAUUCCUGUUUUCAAAUGUGUUUGGAUAAUUGUUAGAGGGUCAUCAUCAUGCUUCUAAUAAUAAUUCUAUGUGUUUUGAAAGAUUUCAACUCCCUUCAUCCAUUCACUCACAAAUGGAGAAGACAUUAUCAGACUGAACAGCCACUCUCCCUGUUUAGUUCUAAAGUGAUGCCUUGCUUAGUGCUAUUCAAUCCUCAUUCUAUGGAGUUCAGAAUACAUUCUCUACUGUAGUAAUC